rnacentral:rRNA from 1 species
GAUGAACGCUGGCGGCGUGCCUAAUACAUGCAAGUCGAGCGAACGGACGAGAAGAUUGCUUCUCUGAUGUUAGCGGCGGACGGGUGAGUAACACGUGGAUAACCUACCUAUAAGACUGGGAUAACUUCGGGAAACCGGAGCUAAUACCGGAUAAUAUUUUGAACCGCAUGGUUCAAAAGUGAAAGACGGUCUUGCUGUCACUUAUAGAUGGAUCCGCGCUGCAUUAGCUAGUUGGUAAGGUAACGGCUUACCAAGGCAACGAUGCAUAGCCGACCUGAGAGGGUGAUCGGCCACACUGGAACUGAGACACGGUCCAGACUCCUACGGGAGGCAGCAGUAGGGAAUCUUCCGCAAUGGGCGAAAGCAUGACGGAGCAACGCCGCGUGAGUGAUGAAGGUCUUCGGAUCGUAAAACUCUGUUAUUAGGGAAGAACAUAUGUGUAAGUAACUGUGCACAUCUUGACGGUACCUAAUCAGAAAGCCACGGCUAACUACGUG